GAAAAUUAAACAUUUAUUGAGUACAUGUUUAUUUGGUAACAACACAGUUUCUCAAUAAAAAGAUGAGCUGAAUUCCUCCAAAACAGAACAAAGCAAUUUCCCGUCCUUCCCAGGUUAGACUCAAAUCUAUUACCUUAUGCUCCUUUUUCGUAACUUUCAAAAUACACAAAGCAUUUGGAGGAAGAUAUUCACAUUAUUCUAAAACCAAAAUAUUUUAAAAUAAAAAGUAGUUUAAACAAUAAUUUCUAAAUAUCACAGUAUACCAUGAUACAUUCUUCCAGCUUUUAAAACUAUUGCUACUUAAAAUAUUAGUAUAUUUAUGCAAAAUACUUGAAAAAAGUGAAACACCUUCUGUCUUUUCCAGUUUCUGAUUUCAGGAACAGGUGCAGUUUCUGAGUUCCACCAUCUCCUUAACAGAUCUUGUGUUAUAGCAUCCAUCAGAAACAACUGGUCAGCUCUCAAAUACUGAUGGCAAUGCAUGUUAAACAUGCAUGUUCUACUAAAUUUGCAAUGGAUGAAGUACUGUAAACAAUACUACAAACCUUGGAUUAUUUUUGCACAGAAAGGUAACAAUCCAGUAUUCCCUGAAGAAACUUUAUACAAAGGCUGAAAACAGAUAUUGCCCACCAUGGACAGUCAUUUACUUUUUAGAUGGAAUAUAUGUUUUUGCAUUCUCUUCACCAAUUUUUAAAAGCGUUUGCAAUCUUGCUCUACAUAAGAAUCUUUUCACAUAUUCCAACUGCAAAAACAUAAUCAAAGGCUCCACAUCAGUUCUCAGAUUUGAUUUUAAAAUCACUGACCACAGAUCCUCCAAAUACCAUUCACAGUACUAGUGGUGAGAAAAAUUAUUGGCAAAAGGUCUCUUUUUAUUUGAAAAUUCUAAGGAAAUAAUCCCGUUAGACAUUUGGAGUUUCUGGUAGAGACAAGGUGACAAUUUAAACUUUCCAAAGUAAGUCUAACACUGAUUUGUACUCAAUUUUAAAUUGUUCAGACUAGUAUGCCAUUCUGCAAUUGCUAGAUAUUUGAAUAACAUCAUAUUCGCUUUUAGUUUUUUCUUAAUUCUUAUACCCCUUUUAGAUUUUUGUUAUGGUCAUAUACCUUGGUUUCUGAAAUUCAGUUUUAUGUUCAAUGAGUUAAGAAAUAAUAAACAUCAAAACAGUUUAGCCAGACUUUAAUAGGCAAAAAGAGGUUGCUUUGGCAAUGUAUAAAAGAUAACUAUUACAGUAAAAAUUUUUUAUUAAAUAUUAAAAUAUAAGGCAAUUAUUAAAGACAUUUGAAAUUGCAUUUAAUAAAUGGGUAACUGGCCCCACACCUGACAUAUUGCACCCUACAUUUCUUCUCUAUUUACUCUAAUCAACCAAAGAAGUUAUUUUAAAACAACAGAUCAGUGGUCUUUCUAAGAACAUCUCAGAUUCUGAUUGCAACUACAGUGUUAUUCUGAAAAAGACAACGAAUAUUUUUUAAGAUUUUCCCAUUUUAUGUCUCUACCAUUCCUGUUUUCUUGACUCAUUUGUAACAGUUACUGAAAGCAUCCUCCUGAAGAAUAGUUGUCAUCUAAGGCUUAACCUACCAUUCAAGGUAGGGCAGUGAUUCUCAAGCCUCCUGGGAAAACUGUUGCAAGACAUGCCUGGGUCCCCUUCAGACCUAACAAAGCAGUGCCUUCAGGCCUUCCUUUCCUGAAUACAUGGCUAGUCUCACAUAACCCAACAUUUGAUUUGGCUAAAGCAUAAAGUUGAAAUGGAAGACAUUUGUUUCCACCAGUCCUAGCUCACAAACUGGGAUCCAGUAAAAAGACAAAAUGUUGGCUCAUUUCUUCUAAAAAAAUAAUUGAGUAACAUGACCAAGAAAUGUCUCUAGUACCAAUAAAUCAAACACAGCUGCCUGCUGCUGCCCCUUCCACAGUAGCCAGCAGCGUUCCUGACCCUCAAGGAUGAAGGACAGCUGGCAGUGACCUAGUGUAGGGACUAUUAGCUCCAAAAGAAAAUGUUUCCACCACCUUUCUCUCCAUCUCUACUUCUCGUUCUCCCAUCUUCGGUUCAUCUUCUCUCUUACUCUGUCUUCUGCCAUCCUCACUUUAAUCCUCUUCUCUUUCCUCUCUUCUCUCUUCCCCUUUCUUUUUGAUUAUUCAAUCACAUCAUUCUUUUCUUUUCAACUUUCUCUUCUUUAACAAUUCUUUCUUUCACAAUACAAGCAAAUUCAUGCUGCGGAUGUAUGUCAGAAAAUAGUCUAAGGCAAUGGACCACCAGUGACACUGGUGUGGCUUCAUAAACCAUGAACAAUACUUUCAAAUCUAUUAUCUCUUCUGAGUCUCAUUUUCUUAUGAGGUUUGAAGGGCAGACUGAUUGUACUUAAAACCUAAGGCACAGAGAAGGUUAAAUGACAGGCCUGAGGUCCUAGCCAGAUCUAGUUCACAAUCUGGUCUUCUCAUUGCACCAAUACCAUCUGACUGAGGUAAGAUGAGAGAGCAAUGUAUAAGCAGUAACACUAUUUCAGGCUCUGAAGUAUCCAGAGAGCUUGGUUACCUUACACAGGAGGAAUCACUCUUCAUGAGGACAAAAAAAGUAUGGGUGUUCUUAAAGUAUGAAUUAUAAAAUAUAUUUUCUAGAGGUUUUCCAAGUUCACUUAAGAUGACUACAAAUACAAAGUAUGACUACAUUUUAAAGUCUUUCCACUUUGGUAAUACUGUAGCCCAGAGAUAAUUC
ensembl:lncRNA